AAUCAACGCUGGCGGCGUGCCUAACACAUGCAAGUCGAACGCGACUGGGGGCUUCGGCCUCAGUUGAGUGGCGAACGGGUGAGUAACACGUGGGUGACCUACCUUCGAAUGGGGGAUAACGUCCCGAAAGGGACGCUAAUACCGCAUAACAUCCUGCCUUUGAACAGGCGGAGAUCAAAGCCGGGGAUCGCAAGACCUGGCGUUUGAAGAGGGGCCUGCGUCCGAUUAGCUAGUUGGGAGGU
rnacentral:rRNA from 1 species